AAUGGGUCAGCGACUUAUAUUCUGUAGCAAGGUUAACCGAAUAGGGGAGCCGAAGGGAAACCGAGUCUUAACUGGGCGUUAAGUUGCAGGGUAUAGACCCGAAACCCGGUGAUCUAGCCAUGGGCAGGUUGAAGGUUGGGUAACACUAACUGGAGGACCGAACCGACUAAUGUUGAAAAAUUAGCGGAUGACUUGUGGCUGGGGGUGAAAGGCCAAUCAAACCGGGAGAUAGCUGGUUCUCCCCGAAAGCUAUUUAGGUAGCGCCUCGUGAAUUCAUCUCCGGGGGUAGAGCACUGUUUCGGCAAGGGGGUCAUCCCGACUUACCAACCCGAUGCAAACUGCGAAUACCGGAGAAUGUUAUCACGGG
rnacentral:rRNA from 1 species